rnacentral:rRNA from 1 species
UACGGAGGAUGCAAGCGUUAUCCGGAUUCAUUGGGUUUAAAGGGUGCGUAGGUGGUUUCUUAAGUCAGAGGUGAAAGGCUACGGCUCAACCGUAGUAAGCCUUUGAAACUGGGAAACUUGAGUGCAGGAGAGGAGAGUGGAAUUCCUAGUGUAGCGGUGAAAUGCGUAGAUAUUAGGAGGAACACCAGUUGCGAAGGCGGCUCUCUGGACUGUAACUGACACUGAGGCACGAAAGCGUGGGGAGCAAACAGGAUUAGAUACCCCGGUAGUCCCUGAG